AAGAAUUUAAGUUAAUUAAACUAUUGACCUUCAAAGUCAAAAAUAGAAUAUAUCUAAGUCUUA
rnacentral:tRNA from 1 species